CUAAUGACGUUGAAGAGGAACAGUAAAAUUUUCUAAGCAAUCAGAGAGCUGUUGGAUGGUGUGAAACAGCGGUGGAGAAAAUUUGAACUCGCCUUGGAGUUGCUCGCUGAACAAGAAUGUUGUAGGCGGAGCCGGAGCCUGUCCGUUAUCAUCAGGAGGAUAUAGGGUAUAUUUGUUAACCCGUAUCUAUGAGCGCAUGCCGUGUAAGGCAUGAAUUCGGAGUGGUACCGCGUAAGAUUUCACAGUCUUUCGUCUCUGUU
rnacentral:ncRNA from 1 species